rnacentral:rRNA from 1 species
AGGAGAGUUUGAUCCUGGCUCAGAACGAACGCUGGCGGCGCGUCUUAAGCAUGCAAGUCGGACGGUAAGGGGAGCUUGCUCCCCCUAGAGUGGCGGACUGGUGAGUAACACGUGGGUGACGUACCCUUUAGCUGGGGAUAGCCGGUAGAAAUACCGGGUAAUACCGAAUAAGCUUGCCCUUUUAAUGUAGGGUAAGGAAAGGAGCUUCGGCUUCACUGAAGGAACGGCCCGCGCACUAUUAGUUAGUUGGUGGGGUAACGGCUUACCAAGGCGACGAUAGUUAUCCGGCCUAAGAGGGUGAACGGACACAUUGGGACUGAGAUACGGCCCAGACUCCUACGGGAGGCAGCAGCUAAGAAUAUUCCGCAAUGGAGGAAACUCUGACGGAGCGACGCCGCGUGGAUGAUGAAGGUCGGAAGAUUGUAAAAUCCUUUUAUCUGUGUGGAAUAAGUUUUGUAGGAAAUGACAGAAUGAUGACUGUAGCAGAUGAAUAAGCAACGGCUAAUUACGUGCCAGCAGCCGCGGUAACACGUAAGUUGCGAGCGUUGUUCGGAAUUAUUGGGCGUAAAGGGCAUGUAGGCGGAUAUGCAAGCUUGGUGUGAAAUUCUGGGGCUUAACUCCAGAACUGCGUUGAGAACUGCAUAACUAGAGUAACUGAGGGGUAGCCGGAAUUCCAGGUGUAGGGGUGAAAUCUGUAGAUAUCUGGAAGAACACCAAUGGCGAAGGCAGGCUACCAGCAGAUUACUGACGCUGAGGUGCGAAGGUGCGGGGAGCAAACAGGAUUAGAUACCCUGGUAGUCCCCU